CUAUGAACACUGGGAAGGGGAGGGGCAUGGGCUCUGCGCCUGCCUGAGUGAUGGAGGGGUAUAUUUACAAAACAGGCUGUACAAACAGGAACCAUUUGCCAGGGGCAGAUGUGGAAAGUUGGCUCAAGAGAAAUUGCCAUAAUAAACUCUGUCCCAACCUGAGGACAAUGAGACUAAGUUUUUGCUACUUAGAACAUUUUAAGUGAAUGUAUUUUCUUGCCAACCCUUACUUAGUCCCUAAACCAGGUAUGUCGGCAAUGAAACAAAAAAGCUGAUACCUGUAAAAAACAGUAAAGUUUCUAGGGAACCUUUAGUCUGAGCCAAUCAACAUGCUACUAUUAUGUUUGCUUAUUUCUCCGGUAUAUUCCACCUUAUCUCCACGAUCGUGGAUCAGUGUUAGAAUGGGAUGGGGAGGGAGAGAAACAAAGAAGACAGAACUAGCAAAAUGAAUUAACCUGUAAACCAACUUCGGAUGAAACUAUCAGACCAGCCAUAAGUCUGGCCAAUGUGGUUUUAAUUAGAAUAUAAAUCAGGUCGUUCCGCUAGCCUUUGAAAGAAAUCACCAAGUAGAAAGUGCACAGAAGCAUCUGCGGUC